UGGAGAUACUAAAGGUAUCCUGUCAGUGCUAAAUACGUCAAUAUUUGUUCCUGUUCUAUAAAGGACACUUGUGAGAUACUUGUAGGAUACACAGCAGUGGUUAUAAUUGAAAAUGAAAGGGGUCUCAGCAGCAGGGUUAUCCUUGUGAAGUCCUAUUUUUUUUUCUUCCCCGCUGUUUGUGCACUCAGCAAUUAGCACAGCACUGAUAGCAGUGCUAAACUUCAGAAUGCUUUUUCAACAAUACAGGUGCAUAGAUAAGUGCACCCUUGCUGCAGAUAAGGAGAGGUAAGAGUCUGGUAUGUGAAAAAUGAGAGUGGAGAAGUACUUUGUGACAUAACUAGUUGCUCAAGACACUUGAGAGGAGAUGAUGCAUACUUUCUUUAUAGCCUGUAAGCAAAGGAAUUUCUCUGAGAAGCUCAUAUGAGUGGAGCCCAUGGUGGAUACCUCAAGUUUCUUUUAGCAUCAUGCAGUGUUACAAGGUUUAAUCCUUCUAUUAAAAUGCUUGUCUAGGAAAAGAAAAAAGUUCAUGUUACUGCAUAACCUGUUACUUUUGCUAAGCAUGUCUCUCAUACCUCUUCUAAUUUGUUCGGUGAUUAAGACAGAGCUGGAGAGGCUGCAGCUGUCCGGUACCAAGGAGAUUGUGGUGCCAACUGCUGGCAGCCAGAAGACUCAGCUAAAUGUAGAAGAACAUGGGCCUUUUUGUGGGUUCUGUGGUAUUUCAGUUAUUUGGGAGAGCUCUGGGUAGGAACUUGUGAUAUGUCUAAGUAAUCUAAAAGCAACUCCUGUAACUAUGUAUCUGUGUGGUUUUACUUUGCAAAAAACCUAAGAGAAGAAAAAAAAACACCCAACCAAACCACCCUCUGCUGGUGUUUUGUAGCUGUUGAUUUUUUUUGUUUCAGAGAGCACCUGUAUUAGAAGGCUGAGGUAUUGCAUAUGAAAAGAUAGGGAUUUUCCAUCUAAUUCUACCUGUAAAUGCUCGCUUCUUUUGCUAAGUCCACAUUUCAGACUUUUGUUGAGACUAAGUUUGGGGUUUUUUUUUACAUGCUGAAGCUUUAUCUUUUAGUCAAUCUCUGCAUUUUUCCUAAAGAAAUUAAAAUAAAUUUUGGGACUUCUUAUACUCUGAAGUGCAUAUGUUUCUCACAUAUAAAAUUGUGUGUUAUUCAAUAUCCCUUUACAAAUUUCUUCAGUGUUUCACUUCCUUAAAGAAAAUAGUGACAUUUCCUUUCUUUUCCCCACUGCAACAAAAUCAAAGAAUACAUUUUGGAUGCUCUUCAAUGUAAAGUUUAAAUUUGGCUUUUGCUCUAAAGUUGUCUGUAGAAUGGAGAUUAAGGUACUUUGCAGCCUCAUUGACUAGGAAAUGUAGCCAAACAUAAUAAAUGCAAUUCACUGAAGUUAAAGUACAACAGCCACCUUGAGGAAGAUCAAAGUUAGGGAUCACUGCUUUCUUCUUAAGUGCAUGGAACAGAAUGGGGAGGGACACCCAGUACCACAGGAAGAGAAAAGCUGUAUAUAGUGAAUUUCUCCUUCCAAGACCAAGUUAAGGAUUUACACUAAUUCUUGACUAUGAUGUAACAAAGAAUUUAUAGUGCAGACUGGUUUAUAUUACAGAAAAAUCGCUAUUGGCACCAAUAUGUGGGAGCAAGAUUUAUUUGAUCAAAGGAUUUGUGUCUUUAGCCUGGUGGUUCAAGGUUUUUCUUUGAAUAUUUUGAUCUGAACUAUGAAGAAAAAAAUGCAUCAUUUUAAGACAGGGUCUAAAGCCCAUUGGAAUUACAUUUUAGGGAUGGUUCAUUAUCCUGAGUAACCUUUGAAUCAGAAGUUUUUAAUCUUUUAAUUGUACUAAGCUGACUUAUGCUCUCAGAGAAGAGAGUUUCAGUAUUUUUUAUUUAGUAAAACCUCUUUAAUUAUUAGUUUUCAACAGUCAUCUGUUUAAAUGAUGCCAAAUGGUCCCUUAGCAAUGAGUAGUGCUGUUCUCUCAGUUGAGCUGCUUUGGGUGAUUCCUUUCAGUAUACUUGGAUUUUGGCAUGCAUGGAGAACUGUGCAUCUUUCACAGUGGCUGCUGUAAUGAAUGCUAAGCAAACAAUACCUUCUUUUUAAGCAAGCAAAAUAACAAAAUACCAUACAUAAAAAAUACUAGUCUUCUAGCAAAAUCAAAUACUUGACAAACAUUUAAUAUCUUCUGUUGCUAACUAUAAAAAGUCUAUGUGACCAAGAAAAAUACAGCUCUUAUAAUGUAUUUAGGGUUAAAGUUCUCUGGAUUUUGGAUGUGAUAGGAUUUUGUAUACUGCUGUGUGAUAGAGGUCCCCUUAUGCCAUCCUUUUCACACCUACCCAGGGGUUAUUUUGUAGGCUCUCUACUGCCUAUUUGUCCUCACGGCUCUUAUUUCAAGCAUUGUUUCCUGUGUCUGAAACUUCUGAACCAUAAAAAGAAGUUACUGGAGUUAAAGGAGUAGUAUUUUUUCCUCAUAGGUCAUGUAAUACGGCUUUAGAUUUUGUGGUAGAUUCCAGGUUUGGCCUGGAAAAGAAGACUGUUUGUUUGCUUACCAGCAGUGUUAAUUCAUGUCUGAGCAACAGAGGUGUAGGUUAGAACAGUUGUGGGGGUUUUGUGUUGGUGUUUUUUUUUUUUUUUGGUGGGGUUUUUUUUUCUGGUUUUUUUUUUUGUUUUGUUUUUUUUGUUUUUUAACACUUCAUUGCUAUUAAAGGAACUUGCUGGAAUUUUUUCUUACUCGUCUUUUGAUUUUCAUUCUGUUAUGUAGGACACAGUUUGAUGUGCAGAAUAGAGCACUAAUUGCCCAGAAGGAGCUUGGACUCAAUUAGAUUAUGGAUGACUGUGGAAGGUUGAUAACUUGGGUGUAUUGCCAAGUUAGCUAUGCUUUGCUGGAUGGAGGCAGCCUAAGACCUCUUGGAAAUGUAAAUGAAAUGGCAUUUGUUGAGAAGAAGAUGAGAGGCCAGUGCCAGGCUGGGCUGGGCAGCUGGGGGCCAGGGGCAAGGGAAGAGGUUGCUGGUACUGGUGAGUGGGCAUCAUUCCACCCUUGUGUUGGUGGUCACAGUGCUCUGACAGGCAACCGGGAAGCUCAUUUGCAAGGCCUAGCAGCAUUUCCAAAGGUAUUCAGAUUCUGGGUUUGCUUCAUGUCCCCUGGAAGCUUCGAGGUCCAUCCCCUUGAAUCCAGAAUACUGAAUUUGCCCCCUUCUCCCCACUCCACCCAAGUGACCUGCAUUGUCCUGCAAGCCCAACUCUUCCAUUGAUUGGCAUGUGGUCUAUAAUAUAAUCAGGACGUAAUCCAUCGAUUAAUUUGAAAAUGAGAAUCAAAGCUGUAAGCUGGUGUUGGAAGCUGGCUUGCAAGGAACUCUAGCAGAGAUUGUAUAACAAGGUCCUGGGAGAGGAGAGAUGACGCAGAGCUGUGUUUAGGGCAGAGGCAUGCUGUACUAUGUAUAGGUUCAAGCUAAUUAUGCCUGAACAAAACUGUAUGUGUGUUUUUUUCUACAGUCUAAUUGGCAACCUUGAUUUUCAUCUCUAACCAGUAGCCAGCAAUUUCUUGAGUUUCUCAUCUGAGGGAUUCAGAACACCGUUCAAUGAUUACAGAUACCUCCUGAUUGUGGAGUAGAGAUUUAGCACCCUGGCUCAUAUCUCCUCUAUUUUUACUUGUUCCCUGUAGGAAGUUUUUUGAGCUGGUGGCAAUAUUGACUUAAUGGUCACAGUUCCCAUCUGCUUGUUCUCACUUCAUGGUUUGAACCUGUAGAAUUGUUUCUUU